rnacentral:misc_RNA from 1 species
CGAAUUUCUUGGAUAUGACACAGUAUCUUUUCUCUUGCGAGCAAAUAUAUGACCUGAGCUUCUUGGCGAGAGGCGGCGUGGGGAUGCUGCGUUGGGGCGGUUUACUGGGUCGGGGCGUCCCUCGGAGCGGACGGGAGCGGGAGAGGAGAGGACAGCAGGGGAGGGAGCGGAGACUGGCGCAGCCUCCCCUCUCCAUUGGCGCUCGGCGGUGGAGGACGCGGCGG